rnacentral:SRP_RNA from 1 species
UUCCGGGUGUCGGUUAACAAGUUAAUGCCCAACUCCGUCAGGUCCGGGAGGAAGCAGCGGUAAGUAUGAAUCUUGUGUAAUCGCUCACCCGGUUUUU